AAAUUUUGUGAUCAAUGGAUUAAUUUCUUUUGUUAUAACAAGAUACAAUGAUCAUAAAAUCGUAUGAAUAUAAAUUUUUAUUUAAUAGAUAUUCAUAUUAUAUAUUUUUUUUAAAUUAAACUAUGUACCAUUUAAAAUACAAAAUAUGUUAAUUUUGAAAUUUGCAUUGAAAGAGUAUUGAAACCUUAAUAUUUUAAUUUUGAAAUUUGCAUCGAAAAGUAUAACAUCAAAACAUUUGGGAUUACUGGUUUAAAUUUUUUGUUGCAUCAAAUAUACAAAUGUUAAUAAAACUAAAUGAAUAGGAAGUCUCAAUAAUAAAUAUAUAUAUAUAUAUAUAUAUAUUAAAAUAUACUAUAUAUUUAUGUCAAUAUCAUUGAAAUAUUAUUAUAUACCAUAUAAAAUAAUUAUUUUGAUUUAUAUACCAUAAAUAUAUUGUAAAUAAACAAGAGGUAUUAUGUUGAUUUAAGUGAUUACUUUAAUCUCCUAUAUAUUAAUUCAGAAACAAUUCAGCAUGUGUAAGAUUUUAUUAAUUAAUAUUGUUCGAAAUCCUUACAAGAGAUCGAUACAACUAAGAUUUACUUAGAAGCUAUUGAAAUCACCUACCGAGAACAUGGAUUACACAACAAAUUUUCUUUCCUAAACCUAACCCCAUUCUAUUCGUCACAACACCGACAAAGAAUAUUUAGAAAUGUCGAUUGAUAAUCCAAAUGGUAACUUUUUUAAGUUCAACCUAUUGUUUUCUUUAAAUGGACCUAAAACAAUUUUUAAUGAUUAUCUAAAUUGGCCACAUACAUAGUAAAAUGUAUUUUGGUUUAAAAAUUAUUGCAUACCCAAAAUCAAUAUGAACCAUCAUCAUUUUCGUUUUAAAUUUUGUCACAAUAAAAAUAUAGAGUUGGGCAAAAUAUCUGAAUCCAAAAACAAACCAAAACCGAUCCAAAAAAUAGUACUAACUUUAACCAAAAUUGGUUAGAUAUCCGAAUGGUUUCAAAAAUUUGAUAUCCAAAUACACGAAACCGAACCCGAUCCGAACCGAAAUAUUUCGGGUAUCUGAAUAUAUCUGAACCAGAUUUAUAUAUGUAAAUAUAAUAAUUAUUUUUAAAUUUAUCUAAAAGAAUAUACAAAAUAUAAAAUAUGUUUUUAAGUUGUCCAAAAUGCUUGGAAAUACAAAUAGUUAUAAGUACAUGUUUUCACACAAAAAAGUACAUGUUUAAAAUAGCUAAUCAAUACUUAAAAUAUUUAUUGAUUUUCCUUCUAAAUAUUAAGGUAAACUAGUUUUAAUGUUAAGUUUAAGUAUUUUUGACAUAUAUUAUUCAAAUUCAUAUGUUAUAUAUUAUUUUUAUUUUUAGAUUUUGAAAAUUUUAACGAUAUAUGAACUUUCAUUUUUGAAAAAAAUUGAAAUAUGUUAUCUAAACCCUAACCUGAACAAGAUCCGUAAAGAUCCGAACCAAACUAAAUCCACAAAAAUCUAAACCGAACUGAACCAAAUGGUACUCGAAUAUCCACCUAUGAUUAAAUGUAAAAAAGUUAUUGACAUCAAAAUGUAUAUUGUUUAUACUAUUUAAGUACUAUAUAUUUUAAAAAAUUCACUCCGUUACAGAGCGGAUAUUAUCAUCUAGUUCUUAUAUACACGGGAUAAGAUAAAUUAUUCUAGUGAGAAAGUUUAUGUUAUAACUUCAAUUCGGUGGUUGUUAAUACUAAUCCACUCACCAUAUUAAAUUGUUCUUUUUUUGUUGAUAAAGACGUCACUGGUGAGCGGUGAUUCAUGUAAUCAGUCUCCUCACCAACCUAUUUGCCUUCUUUUUGAAAAACAUUAUUCACACAUGAAAGAAAAAAGAUUUUCGUUUUUUGGGGUGGCGGUAGCUUAGUUAUCACUGAACACUUUUUCCAUACAAGCUAAAAUCACGCGAGAUACUAAGUUUGAAGUGAUUUAUACUAAAAUGACAAAUUUAUUGUUAUUCAAAUGUGGAUUUAAAAAAAUACUUUAAAAUUUAGUGCUAUUAAACUUAUCAUUUCAUAAAAAAACUCUGAAAUCAACUGUUUUUGAACAAAAUUUAAGUUAGAGAUUUUAGAGUACUUUAAGUGUUUCUAGAGUGUUUGAGGAGAGUUCCUUAGUUAUAAAAAUAAAAAUCCAAAUCUCAUUAUUUUAGAUGAGAAUCUAGAAUGUUUUAACAAAAAUUACAUCAAAUUCUCCAAUUCUCUUACAAUCAUCUACAAACUCAUUAAAAGUCAUAUCACUUCAAAUUACAAAUUCGAUACACCCCCUAAAAGGGUUUCAGCUACCAAGUCCAUCAUCAAUGUAUUUUUAUCAUUAAUAUUUGGGGUUUCGUAUCUUAUGCCAUUACUUAGGAUUCUUAUUUAUCAUAGGAUUCAUUUCUCCAGUUUUUUCUAACUUAUCAAAUAUAUUACGAUCACUCUAUAACAUUAGGAUAUAUAACGGGCAAGAUUGGUAAACAAAAAAAAGUAACGGGCCAGCUUGUAUCUAUUUAGUUCAUCUAGGAGGUUACUAUUUCUUACUAAUUAAGUAUCAAGAUAAUUGAUUUGUAUUAGACCAAAGAAAAAGAUAAUUGCUUUGUGUAGACUAUAUGGUAUCACGGUAUUUCCUCCUAAAUGCAGUUAACCAAAUGAACUUCAUUCAAAUUUUCAUUUACUAAUAAAGUAAUUGAUUUAUCAUAAUAUUACAAAUAGUGUAGCAUAUACUCUCAAAAUAUUAAUUAUUUUUUUCUUUUUUUUGGCAACCAAUUAUAUUUUUCAAUAUUGCAUUCGAUAUUAUUGCGUUUGACUUGAUAAAACAGUAAAAUACCAAAAACAAUUACUGGAAGUGUGGGGUUAUAUAAGUACAUGAUGUUUAAUAGACAUGUCGUAUACUCUGUUAUUUCUUCUUCUGUGUUCAGUCAGAUUGUGACUUGUAAUGAAAGACUUAGAUUGGUCAAUAGUCAAUGGCUCCUUCUACUCUUUUUGGCCUGUUUCCUGGUGGCAGGGCGCCCAUGAUUUAAUUAAAAAAAUUGUAGUUUGGAGGUUUGAAUUUUUUUUUACAGAUUUGAAGUUCUCUCUAUAAAUAUAUUUAUUUAUUUUUUUAAAAAAAAUUGAAAUCUUAAAAUGAAUGUUUCAUUUGACUUGGUCUAGGACCAGCCAUGUUUGGUGGUCUGUAGUAGUCUACUACUAGUAGACUACUUAUUGUAACCAUGUAGCGAUCCCGAGACAACCAUUCUUCAGAUUUUUCAAAUAAUAACAAUUGGGCAGUUAAGAAUAUUUUUUGUAUUUUUUUAUUAGUACUGAUUAAUAGGUACACGCACAAAUUGAAAUCAUAUAAUCCAAGUCCCAAAAAAAAUCUAUUAGAGCACAUGUUUCAUGUCUUCUUUUCUACCAUAUGUUGAUUAAAACGCACAAGCUGAAAAGCAUAUUGUUUUUCUUCUUCCAAUACUUUGAUUAAAACGUAACUGAAAAUAUAUUUUGAUUAGCUAAACAAUUUUUUUUAUAAAAAAAUUUCAUUAAUCUUCCGAAAGGGCAUCAUUACGGUUACAUACAGACUAAGAAUCAAGCAAAAACGAUACCAACCAUAUGAUUGAUAGCUUUGAGUCAUCGGACUACACAGCCAAGUUGUGGGCGCAACUCCAGAUCCUUCCCUCAUCACCAUCGCACCAAAUUAAUCCGGAACUUCAACACCAUCGGAAGAAGACGGGCUGGAAAGCACGAAAACCUACCCUGUAGCUUCAGAACCUGCAAAAAGAGAAGGACAAUGGUCUACCAAAUCAACAAAGAGUCGCUCCGAUAUUGGGAUGACCACAUGUCCAAGCAAGUCUCCUCGCCGAAAGAAGAACCAAAAGACACCGUUUGUUUAGACUAAAAAAAAAAUGAGAUUGAAGAUGCUCUAGAUACCGAAUUUGUAUUGUGGAAGAAAUAGAAUCUCUGGAUUCUAACCAAAAGAUUGUUCAUCUCAACAAAAAGACAAUAAAGCAUUAGUACACACACAUGUAUGUCUCGUAGUAAACCUCAAAUGCAAUAGAGAAAAAAAUCAUGUAUCUUGAAGUUGAGCCAUACCGCUUAGUUCAGUAGACGUUUCAGUAUACUGGACUUCGUUUUUAGCUGGGCCUUUACUUAGCAUCAGCCUUAAGUAAGCCUAAGAACUACUUGUAAGAUUAUUUUCGUUGUAUGACGUGUAAAGCUUAAAGCAUGUAUAAACCUCAUCGCCAAUAAACAAACAAACAAAACAAUCUCACUUUUUUUCUUAAUUGACCGUUGAUUUCGAGUGUAAAAUUAAUUGGAAGUUCCCCGCUUAAUUAUGAACAGAAGAGAUUAUCUUACUUGUUAGAAUCCUAGAAAGGUAAACCUACUGGUUCUUCCCGCGAAAUUUGGUUAAAUUUUGGUUUCUCUUUUGUUCCACGAGUGUUACAAUGAGUCUAUCUACGUAGUUUGUUAUAUAUUGGCAAGAUGAGAUGUAAUCAGUUGCAUUAACUUGUUGUGAAAUUGUGUCAGGUGGCUCGGGUAUAGUGGUGCUCUUAUGCUCAUGUUCUUCACUACUUAUUGUGUCUGCUCGUGUGUCUAUGAUAGCUCCAAUUGUAGUUAGAACAUAACUUCCUAAAAUGACUUCUAGUUGUUUAGGUUCAGUUUUUAAAUCGUGCCCCUGACAGUAAUACUUACGGGGAUCAGAAUUCCUUUCCUUCAAUGUUUACUCAAACAUUUAAAAGUAUUCCCACAGGUCGAUCACUAAUUACAGAUUUUCUCGAGUCUUUUAGUGAUUUGUGAUCUGUAUAAAUCUCUAGAAACAAUGGCUUUGGGUAUAUCUAUAUGUGUGACAUGUGUUAUUAGACCGUGAUCACAUUCACAUGGUUCUCGUACAGUCGUACGAUCUUUUAAUCAUUAUGGUAUUACAUAUUGAUGUUUACGUUGACACUUAAAAGCUCGAAAGACAAUGCAUUUAAUAGCUCAUUUCAUCUUGCAUCUCGAUAUUAUAUUAUUUCCAUUUCGUACAGUUAGAUGCUUACGAAAAUAGUCCACAAAAAUGUAAUAUUUCUCUAGACAAAACUUUUUAAAAUCACUUUCUUAUGUAAUAGUCUUAUUCAAUCCGGUUAAACUAAAUCAAUUAAAACCGAACCGAAAUAGAAAAAGUGAUAUGAUUUGGUGAUAUCGAAUAAACCAAAGAGAUGUUACUUUUCAAAAACUGCACUAUGAAUAUGAUUCGAUAUAUAAACCAAAUAAACCAAAAAUCUAUUAAUUAAAAUAUA